rnacentral:rRNA from 1 species
AGUGAACGCUGGCGGUAGGCCUAACACAUGCAAGUCGAACGGCAGCACAGUAAGAGCUUGCUCUUACGGGUGGCGAGUGGCGGACGGGUGAGGAAUACAUCGGCAUCUACUUUUUCGUGGGGGAUAACGUAGGGAAACUUACGCUACUACCGCAUACGACCUACGGGUGAAAGCAGGAGAUCUUCGGACCUUGCGCGUUUGAAUGAGCCGAUGUCGGAUUAGCUAGUUGGCGGGGUAAAGGCCCACCAAGGCGACGAUCCGUAGCUGGUCUGAGAGGAUGAUCAGCCACACUGGAACUGAGACACGGUCCAGACUCCUACGGGAGGCAGCAGUGGGGAAUAUUGGACAAUGGGCGCAAGCCUGAUCCAGCCAUACCGCGUGGGUGAAGAAGGCCUUCGGGUUGUAAAGCCCUUUUGUUGGGAAAGAAAAGCAGCAGGUUAAUACCCCGCUGUUCUGACGGUACCCAAAGAAUAAGCACCGGCUAACUUCGUG